UACGUAGGGUGCAAGCGUUAAUCGGAAUUACUGGGCGUAAAGCGCACGUAGGCGGAUUGUUAAGUCAGGGGUGAAAUCCUGGAGCUCAACUCCAGAACUGCCUUUGAUACUGGCGAUCUUGAGUCCGGGGAGAGGUGAGUGGAACUGCGAGUGUAGAGGUGAAAUUCGUAGAUAUUCGCAAGAACACCAGUGGCGAAGGCGGCUCACUGGCCCGGUACUGACGCUGAGGUGCGAAAGCGUGGGGAGCAACAGG
rnacentral:rRNA from 1 species